rnacentral:rRNA from 1 species
GUCGAGGGGUAGAGGAAGCUUGCUUCCUUGAGACCGGCGCACGGGUGCGUAACGCGUAUGCAAUCUACCUUUUACAGAGGGAUAGCCCAGAGAAAUUUGGAUUAAUACCUCAUAGUAUAAUGACUCGGCAUCGAGAUAUUAUUAAAGUCACAACGGUAAAAGAUGAGCAUGCGUCCCAUUAGCUAGUUGGUGUGGUAACGGCACACCAAGGCAACGAUGGGUAGGGGUCCUGAGAGGGAGAUCCCCCACACUGGUACUGAGACACGGACCAGACUCCUACGGGAGGCAGCAGUGAGGAAUAUUGGUCAAUGGGCGCAAGCCUGAACCAGCCAUGCCGCGUGCAGGAUGACGGUCCUAUGGAUUGUAAACUGCUUUUGUACAGGAAGAAACACUCCCUCGUGAGGGAGCUUGACGGUACUGUAAGAAUAAGGAUCGGCUAACUCCGUGCCAGCAGCCGCGGUAAUACGGAGGAUCCAAGCGUUAUCCGGAAUCAUUGGGUUUAAAGGGUCCGUAGGCGGGUUUAUAAGUCAGUGGUGAAAGCCCAUCGCUCAACGAUGGAACGGCCAUUGAUACUGUAGAUCUUGAAUUAUUAGGAAGUAACUAGAAUAUGUAGUGUAGCGGUGAAAUGCUUAGAGAUUACAUGGAAUACCGAUUGCGAAGGCAGGUUACUACUAAUGGAUUGACGCUGGUGGACGAAAGC